rnacentral:rRNA from 1 species
AUACGUAGGUGACAAGCGUUAUCCGGAUUUACUGGGCGUAAAGGGCGUGUAGGCGGUCUUGCAAGUCAGAAGUGAAAUUCCUGAGCUCAACUCGGGCGCUGCUUCUGUAACUGCAGGACUUGAGUGCUGGAGGGGAUAGCGGAAUUCCUAGUGGAGCGGUAAAAUGCGCAGAUAUUGGGAAGAACACCGGUGGCGAAGGCGGCUAUCUGGACAGGAACUGACGCUGAGGCGCGAAAGCGUGGGGAGCAAACAGGAUUAGAUCCCCUGGUAGUCCACGCCGUAAACGAUGAAUACUAGGUGUAGGGGGUAUCGACUCCCUCUGUGCCGCAGUUAACACAAUAAGUAUUCCGCCUGGGGAGUACGGCCGCAAGGUUGAAACUCAAAUGAAUUGACGGGG